CCUACCCUAUACAGGAGGAUAGCCCGGAGAAAUCUGGAUUAAUACCCCAUAGUAUCAUUGAGCUGCAUGGUUUAAUGAUUAAAGAUUCAUCGGUAUAGGAUGGGCAUGCGUCUGAUUAGCUAGUUGGCGGUGUAACGGACCACCAAGGCUACGAUCAGUAGGGGUUCUGAGAGGAAGGUCCCCCACACUGGCACUGAGAUACGGGCCAGACUCCUACGGGAGGCAGCAGUAGGGAAUAUUGGGCAAUGGACGAGAGUCUGACCCAGCCAUGCCGCGUGCAGGAAGACGGCGUUCUGCGUUGUAAACUGCUUUUAUCUGGGAAGAAAAUGCCCUUGCGAGGGAAAUUGCCGGUACCAGAUGAAUAAGCACCGGCUAACUCCGUGCCAGCAGCCGCGGUAAUACGGAGGGUGCAAGCGUUGUCCGGAUUUAUUGGGUUUAAAGGGUGCGUAGGCGGCUAUUUAAGUCAGUGGUGAAAGACUCCGGCUCAACCGGAGCAGUGCCAUUGAUACUGGAUAGCUUGAGUAUUGGAGGGGUACAUGGAAUUGAUGGUGUAGCGGUGAAAUGCAUAGAUACCAUCAGGAACACCGAUAGCGAAGGCAUUGUACUGGCCAAUAACUGACGCUGAUGCACGAAAGCAUGGGUAGCGAACAGGAUUAGAUACCCUGGUAGUCCAUGCCGUAAACGAUGAUUACUCGCUGUUAUGGCUUUAUGUUGUAGCGGCCAAGCGAC
rnacentral:rRNA from 1 species